rnacentral:rRNA from 1 species
UACGUAGGGUGCGAGCGUUGUCCGGAAUUACUGGGCGUAAAGAGCUCGUAGGUGGUUUGUCGCGUUGUCCGUGAAAACUCACAACUCAAUUGUGGGCGUGCGGGCGAUACGGGCAGACUGGAGUACUGCAGGGGGAGACUGGAAUUCCUGGUGUAGCGGUGGAAUGCGCAGAUAUCAGGAGGAACACCGAUGGCGAAGGCAGCUCACUGGGACGGUGACUGACGCUGGAGACGCGAAAGCGUGGGGAGCAAACAG